rnacentral:tRNA from 1 species
UGGCUCAGUUGGUAGAGCAUGGUGUUUGCAAUGCCAGGGUUGUGGGUUCGAUUCCCAG